GGCCACAUCACGUAGUAACACCGGUUCUCAUAAGAUCUCAGUAGUUAAGCAAACAUCGAGCCUUGUUAGUACUUAAAUGGGUGACCGAUUCGGAAUACCAGUGUUGUAAG